UACGUAGGGUGCGAGCGUUAAUCGGAAUUAUUGGGCGUAAAGAGCGUGUAGGCGGCUUGGUAGGUCCGCUGUGAAAACUCGAGGCUCAACCUCGAGAUGUCGGCGGAAACCACUUGGCUAGAGUCCGGAAGAGGAGAGUGGAAUUCCUGGUGUAGCGGUGAAAUGCGCAGAUAUCAGGAAGAACACCUAUGGCGAAGGCAGCUCUCUGGGACGGUACUGACGCUGAGACGCGAAAGCGUGGGGAGCGAACAGG
rnacentral:rRNA from 1 species